rnacentral:rRNA from 1 species
UACGGAGGGGGCUAGCGGUGUGCGGAAUUACUGGGCGUAAAGAGCGUGUAGGCGGCCACACAGGUCUGAGGUGAAAACUCGAGGCUCAACCUCGAGCUGUCGGUGGAAACCGUGUGGCUAGAGUCCGGAAGAGGAGAGUGGAAUUCCCGGUGUAGCGGUGAAAUGCGCAGAUAUCGGGAAGAACACCCGUGGCGAAGGCGGCUCUCUGGGACGGUACUGACGCUGAGACGCGAAAGCGUGGGGAGCGAACAGG